AUACUUAACUGAAAGGGGGCAUUACCACGACCACGCAGAUGGUUUUCCUGGGCCAGUGCUCAUCUGUUGCAUUGUUGUAUUUGCUGACCUUGACGUUUUUCCCAAAUGGGAGAAUCUCAGCAACAUGAUUCAUGGAGUGGAGAUGGCGUUUGUGCUCUGCCCUG